CUACGGGGUGCACCAGUCGAGAAUCUUCCGCAAUGGGCGAAAGCCUGACGGAGCGACGCCGCGUGAAUGAUGGAGCUCUUCGGAGUGUAAAAUUCUUUUCUAUCUGAGAAAUCUUUUGAUGAUAUUAAGAUAGGAAUAAGGGGCCGCUAAACUCGUGCCAGCAGCGGCGGUAAUACGAGUGCCCCAAGCGUUAUCCGGAAUUACUGGGCGUAAAGCGUGAGUAGGCGGUUUUAAUAGUGACUGGUUAAAUUCUGAGGCUCAACUUCAGAAUCGCUGGUCAAACGUUAAAACUAGAGCAAGCGAGAGGCUGAUGGAACCUAUCAAGUAGGGGUGAAAUCCGUUGAUAUGAUAGGGAACACCAAAGGCGAAGGCAUUCAGCUGGCGCUUAGCUGACGCUGAGUCACGAAAGCGUGGGUAGCGAACGGGAUUAGAUACCCCCGUAGUC
rnacentral:rRNA from 1 species